GACGAACGCUGGCGGCGUGCCUAACACAUGCAAGUCGAACGGAGUUGCCCUUCGGGGCAACUUAGUGGCGAACGGGUGAGUAACGCGUGAGAAACCUGCCUUUCAGUGGGGGACAACAGUUGGAAACGACUGCUAAUACCGCAUAACAUAUUCGGGGGGCAUCCCCUGAAUAUCAAAGCUUAAUGUGCUGAAAGAUGGUCUCGCGUCUGAUUAGCUAGAUGGCGGGGUAACGGCCCACCAUGGCGACGAUCAGUAGCCGGUCUGAGAGGAUGAACGGCCACAUUGGGACUGAGAUACGGCCCAGACUCCUACGGGAGGCAGCAGUGGGGAAUAUUGGGCAAUGGGGGAAACCCUGACCCAGCAACGCCGCG
rnacentral:rRNA from 1 species